rnacentral:rRNA from 1 species
UAGCAAGUCGGGCGAUGACGGAGGCUUCGGCUCCCGAUUAGCGGCGAACGGUCGCGUAACACGUAAGCAAUCUGCCCCAAAGUUCGGGAUAGCCCGGCGAAAGUCGGAUUAAUACCGGAUGUGGAUGUUUUUUGCGGCAUGCAUUUGCAUCUAAAGCAGCGAUGCGCUUUGGGAUGAGCUUGCGGCCUAUCAGCUUGAUGGCGGGGUAACGGCCUGCCAUGGCGACGACGGGUAGCUGGGUCUGAGAGGAUGGUCAGCCGGACUGGGACUGAGAUACGGCCCAGACUCCUACGGGGGGCAGCAAUUAAGAAUCUUGCGCAAUGGGGGAAACCCUGACGCAGCGACGUCGCGUGAAUGAUGAAGUCUUUCGGGAUGUAAAGUUCUUUUGUCGGGGAAGAGUUAUAGACUGUACCCGACGAAUAAGCCCCGGCUAACUACGUGCCAGCAGCCGC